rnacentral:rRNA from 1 species
UAGAGGAGUGCUCGAAGGAGAGCCGUAACACAGGUGCUGCAUGGCUGUCGUCAGCUCGUGUCGUGAGUAUGUUGGGUUAAGUCCCGCAACGAGCGCAACCCUUGUCAUUAGUUGCCAUCAUUUGGUUGGGCACUCUAAUGAGACUGCCGGUGACAAACCGGAGGAAGGUGGGGAUGACGUCAAGUCCUCAUGGCCCUUAUGGGUAGGGCUUCACACGUCAUACAAUGGUCGGUACAGAGGGUUGCCAACCCGCGAGGGGGAGCUAAUCCCACAAAGCCGAUCGUAGUCCGGAUCGCAGUCUGCAACUCGACUGCGUGAAGUCGGAAUCGCUAGUAAUCGUGGAUCAGCAUGUCACGGUGAAUACGUUCCCGGGUCUU